UGUGGCUCAGAGUGAGAGCGCUCACCUUGCAUGUGUGAGGCACUGGGUUCAAUCCUCAGCA
rnacentral:tRNA from 1 species